AGUAAUACAUCGGAACGUGUCUUCUAGUGGGGGAUAACUGCCCGAAAGGGCAGCUAAUACCGCAUGAGACCUGAGGGUGGAAAGCGGGGGGAGUCGCGAAGACCUCGCGCUGGAAGAGCGGCAGAUGUCCGAUUAGCUAGUUGGUGAGGUAAAGGCUCACCAAGGCGACGAUCGGUAGCUGGUCUGAGAGGACGACCAGCCACACUGGGACUGAGACACGGCCCUG
rnacentral:rRNA from 1 species